rnacentral:rRNA from 1 species
GAUCCUGGCUCAGAUUGAACGCUGGCGGCAUGCCUUACACAUGCAAGUCGAACGGCAGCGGACCUUCGGGUGCCGGCGAGUGGCGAACGGGUGAGUAAUAUAUCGGAACGUACCUUCAGUGGGGGAUAACGUAGCGAAAGUUACGCUAAUACCGCAUAUUCUGUGAGCAGGAAAGCAGGGGAUCGCAAGACCUUGCGCUGAUUGAGCGGCCGAUAUCAGAUUAGCUAGUUGGUGAGGUAAAGGCUCACCAAGGCGACGAUCUGUAGCGGGUCUGAGAGGAUGAUCCGCCACACUGGAACUGAGACACGGUCCAGACUCCUACGGGAGGCAGCAGUGGGGAAUUUUGGACAAUGGGCGCAAGCCUGAUCCAGCCAUGCCGCGUGCGGGACGAAGGCCUUCGGGUUGUAAACCGCUUUCAGCCGGAAAGAAAUCGCCGUUUUUAAUACAGACGGUGGAUGACGGUACCGGAAGAAGAAGCACCGGCUAACUACGUG